UGGGGAAUAUUGCACAAUGGGGGAAACCCUGAUGCAGCGACGCCGCGUGAGCGAAGAAGGCUUUCGAGUCGUAAAGCUCUGUCCUAUGAGAAGAUAAUGACGGUAUCAUAGGAGGAAGCCCUGGCUAAAUACGUGUCAGCAGCCGCGGUAAUACGUAGGUCCCGAGCGUUGUCCGGAUUUAUUGGGCGUAAAGCGAGCGCAGGAGGUUAGAAAAGUCUGAAGUGAAAGGCAGUGGCUCAACCAUUGUAGGCUUUGGAAACUGUUUAACUUGAGUGCAGAAGGGGAGAGUGGAAUUCCAUGUGUAGCGGUGAAAUGCGUAGAUAUAUGGAGGAACACCGGUGGCGAAAGCGGCUCUCUGGUCUGUAACUGACGCUGAGGCUCGAAAGCGUGGGGAGCGAACAGG
rnacentral:rRNA from 1 species